CCUACGGGAGGCAGCAGUGGGGAAUAUUGGACAAUGGGCGAAAGCCUGAUCCAGCAAUGCCGCGUGAGUGAUGAAGGCCUUAGGGUCGUAAAGCUCUUUUACCAGGGAUGAUAAUGACAGUACCUGGAGAAUAAGCUCCGGCUAACUCCGUGCCAGCAGCCGCGGUAAUACGGAGGGAGCUAGCGUUGUUCGGAAUUACUGGGCGUAAAGCGUGCGUAGGCGGUUAUUCAAGUCAGAGGUGAAAGCCCGGGGCUCAACCCCGGAACGGCCUUUGAAACUAGAUAACUAGAAUCUUGGAGAGGUCAGUGGAAUUCCGAGUGUAGAGGUGAAAUUCGUAGAUAUUCGGAAGAACACCAGUGGCGAAGGCGACUGACUGGACAAGUAUUGACGCUGAGGUACGAAAGCGUGGGGAGCAAACAGGAUUAGAUACCCUGGUAGUCCACGCCGUAAACGAUGAUAACUAGCUGUCCGGACACUUGGUGUUUGGGUGGCGCAGCUAACGCAUUAAGUUAUCCGCCUGGGGAGUACGGUCGCAGAUUAAAACUCAAAGGAAUUGACGG
rnacentral:rRNA from 1 species